rnacentral:rRNA from 1 species
AUACGGAGGGUGCAAGCGUUAAUCGGAAUUACUGGGCGUAAAGCGCACGCAGGCGGUCUGUUAAGUCAGAUGUGAAAUCCCCGGGCUCAACCUGGGAACUGCAUUUGAAACUGGCAGGCUUGAGUCUCGUAGAGGGGGGUAGAAUUCCAGGUGUAGCGGUGAAAUGCGUAGAGAUCUGGAGGAAUACCGGUGGCGAAGGCGGCCCCCUGGACGAAGACUGACGCUCAGGUGCGAAAGCGUGGGGAGCAAACAGGAUUAGAUACCCUGGUAGUCCACGCCGUAAACGAUGUCGACUUGGAGGUUGUGCCCUUGAGGCGUGGCUUCCGGAGCUAACGCGUUAAGUCGACCGCCUGGGGAGUACGGCCGCAAGGUUAAA